rnacentral:tRNA from 1 species
GUGGGUGUAGCUCAGUGGUAAAGCACAUGCUUAGCAUGCAUGAGGUCCUGAGUUUAAUCCCCAGUACCUCCA